UACGAACUGUGCGAACGUUAUUCGGAAUCACUGGGCUUAAAGGGUGCGUAGGCGGCGCUGUAAGUCAGGUGUGAAAUCCCCUGGCUCAACCGGGGAAUGGCGCUUGAAACUGCAGUGCUUGAGUGAGGUAGGGGUGCAUGGAACUUCCGGUGGAGCGGUGAAAUGUGUAGAUAUCGGAAGGAACGCCGGCGGCGAAAGCGGUGCACUGGGCCUUGUCUGACGCUGAGGCACGAAAGCUAGGGUAGCGAACGGGAUUAGAAACCCCUGUAGU
rnacentral:rRNA from 1 species